rnacentral:lncRNA from 1 species
CUUUAUUCAGGAUGGACUUAAGGGCUUUCAGCUUCCUUCCAGCUCUUUCCAUGCUUAGAAAGGGAAGAAAAAAAAAAAAAAGCCAGGGACUGGCUCCCAAGUGUCACCACACAACAGUUGUUCUGACUCUCCGUCCCCAGUCUGAAUUUGGCUACAUUUGUGUCUGCGUUUAACUCACACAAGUAUAAGGACAGCCGUCAGAGGAGCCAGAAACUACAUCGAGAGCGCAACUGCUUUCGCAACAGCCUUUGUGACAACUAGAGUCGCUCAAGAGAAUGAUUUCUUUUCUGAGAUGGACUCUGGGGCUCCACCCUUCUCAACUCAGCCGUUGUUCUACAAUAUAUCUGGCCUUCGAUGGAGACUUACCGUAACCUUCAAACACCACAACCUUAUCACAGCUGCCACCCUGUCCCUUCUGUUGCUUCCCUGGAAACCUCUGUGGAGGGGCACUUCUCCUUGUGUUCAGGAAGUGCAAACAUUAACAUAAGAGCAGUUUAGUGAGGAUAUUUGCUUGCAUCUGGGUACAAACAUGAAAGGGUUCCCCCCCCCCCCGUAAUUGUUACUAAGUGUACUCUGUCAAAAUUCUCUGCCUGCCACUUGCCAUAAGCCUCCUUAGUGGCACCUCAGCUCAGUGCCCUGGAUCCCGAAAGUCUUAAGGCUGGCAGUAUUCAUUUUCAAUGUCUAAAGUCAGUUGCUUUCAAAGUCUCUGCCUCCUCCUUCAAAGAGGUAGAGGUGAUAAUCCUUAGUAUUAGCACCCCCCCCCACUUACUCCCCAGCCCAACCCCGACAACACUUGCUAUAGGAUCUGAAGGCUCUUCCUUGCCCUAGAGAGGCUGCUGUGUUCUCUGUAGGGCGUAGCUGCUUAUUUGACCAGUGUUGACUACGUGGCUCUGUUUCUUUGGAGUUUUACAUAGAAAAUCUCAUGUCUCUGGCUUUUCCCCCUCUCCAGACAGGGUUUCCCUGUGUAACCCUGGCUGUCCUGGAACUCGGCUCUGUAGACCAGGCUGGCCUCGAAUUCCAGAGAUCUGCCUGCCUUGGUUUCCCGAGUGCUGGGAUUAAAGGCGUGUGCCCCCUGAGCCGGUUCAUGUGCUGGCUCUUAGGAGGACUAUACCACAUAUCCUUGGGGAUGCUGAGUCCCCGAGGUGCGGUGAUCUGCUUCGCGCCACGAUACGUGCUUAAUUGAGAAGCUUGUUGACUUAAACCCAGCUACCUUCUAGCCUUCUUUGUAGUUGAUAAGAGCUAUAAGAAACCCUUUGGUUUUUGCUACUCCAGAGAGUAUCCAGUCUGGACAGCUGGCACAUCCUCUGCACGUUAGCUUGUCUCUCCGGCUCCUCCUUCUGGCUCUCGAGGACCAUGUGCUGGCUCAGUUCAGAGAUGGUGACUCUUUCCUCUCCAAGUCACUCUUCACUCCACAGCUUGGUGUUGACAGUGGCGAGUCACAUCUCUAUCACGGCCUCGUCCUGUGGAGGCCUAGCCCAGUUCUCUCCAAGCAAGAAGGGACUUUGGCAGGGACUCCGGCUACUCUGUAAAUUGCAUCAUUUGUUUUCUCGAAAGUUUUUCAUCAAACAACUGCGUCUACAGAAAGGUUGACUUCCUGCAAUCCCCGUUCCUCAGAUCUGCGGAGUUCUUUAAACAUGGACUGUAAUGCAGAGUUUUAUGUUGUUCUUAGUGAUACUCAGUAUACAGUAUAUUAAAGUGGAGGUAACCCAACAGUAUUUCAAGCCACAAGGAUUUCACAAGGAGCUUGCAGAAAUUCCGAACCAUUGAACGGUCUGCUGUCUCCAGCACGCAGGAGCCCAUUCUGCCUCCCAGUUCCAGCUUCAGGAGGGCCACCCUCCAUCCAGACAUCAGGGUUGCGUUUCAGCAAACAGCAAGGAAGAAUCAGAAGCAAAGGGUAUCUUUUGUUCUCGUUUCCAGUGAACUCCCUCUGUGAGCCCUCACUGGCCAAACUUACGUACAUGACACGGAGAUCACCUGGAGGACCAAGGAUGUACGCAGGCAAAUGGGAAUCAAAUGUCCCUUGCUGCAGAUGAAGCAGCUUUGGAGAGUGGCCACCUUUCAGUAACGAGAGCAUUAGUAACUUCAGCUCAGAUAUGAAACAAACCAUCUGCUUGAAGAUGAACUUGCAACAUCGCCAGCCUGCCCACAUUCCCUUCCCCAUUUUGCUCCGAUAAAGGCGUUGUCUUCUUUUGAAGGUUCCCCUUACAAGUCUCCCAAAAUGGAAGAAGCUGCACUAAACACAAAUAGCCUCUCUCAAACACACCCACUAGGUGAGUGAGACAGACUGAAGACAAAUGGGACAAACGUCAUGUUAGUUGAAACACAUUGGAACUUGGCAAGUAAGAGUUACUAUCUGAUAUGUAAGUCCCUCCCACCCUGUGAGGUUUAAUCAGCCAACCAUUGGCUUACAUGGAAUUCCUCUAAUCCUUAUCAUCACGUGCAAUUACUGAAAUGAAUACCAGGUUUUAGAAAUGCUACAACAGUUCCUGACAGAAUGAUAAUCAACGGCUAUACCGUAUGGGUCAGAUCCGAGAUAGAAUAGGCGUUCCUAAGACUAUGCUUAAGGAAGAGUUGGAGCAGAUAGGAUUUUCACACAAUGGUCAAACAUGAGGCUGUUCGUGAAGCCAAGGCAAGCUCUCUGACGGGAUGCGAGCACGGAGAGCAUUUUACUCCCGGCUAUGUCAUGGAUCCUGCAAGAAUGGGUUACAUGGACAUGAUGUGGUGGCGGAAUUGAAUACCGCAAACCUCGUGCCUAAAUAUCUGUUGGACGGCACUGGGAAACCAGGCAGGCGCGGUUUACCUGGGAGUAAGGCGUGGAUAACCCCACCAGAGUAGUAUUUAGUUCACAGAGCAGGGCAUUUGAAGCUAUUGAAAAAUAUAUACUAUUUUUCACAGAUUAUUCAGGAAGAAGUAUUACCCCCUAAAAUUUUCAUAUGCAUGGCCUAACAGAUCCCCUUUUCUGUUUAAUCCGGUUAAGCUAAGGAGCCCUGACUAAUACACCUGACUAAUAGGGCGCAGGGAAGAAUUCCUCAGGCUUGUGGGUGUGUUAGAAAGACUUGCUAAACUGCAGGUUGCUGGCCUCUCCUCCACAGCGCGUGAUGUGGUAAGGCAGGGUCCAACGCUACCGAAACUGCAGUCACUUGUUAUGCAUGAGCGAAUGAGUAAAUAGACUCGGAGUGAAUCCUUUAGUUCAUAAAAUAAGAGAUCACGUCUGAUGGUCUAGGGUUGUAAUUGUUGCUUUGUGAGAGGCUGAGGCAGGAGGAUCACGAGUUUCCGUCUCUUCUGACCUACCCAGUGAAUUCAAGGUCAGUCGUGGCUACAUGGUGAGACCCUGGACAAAGUUAGGACUGGGAGAUGUAGCCCAGUGAUUACGACGCAUGCGCGAGGUCCUCAGCUCGCUUCCUAGCCCUUCAAAAGAGACAGAAAUGAAACAAAAUCAUGACAUAAACCACGAGAUGGGACGAUCUCUGGGAUUUGUUUGUUUCUAUGAGUCUAAACUACAAAAUGUUCUACUUAUAUAGUUUGCAUUUCUUAAUUUGUUAUGUGUAUGUACGUGGGGCUGGGACACACAGGCCACGGUAUACGUGUGGGCUUAAGAAGAAACCUCACAGUUCUCUCCAAACUCAGCUCCGCACCCUUGGUAGGGAGCAUCUUGAUUCUCCGAGCCAUCUUGCUGGCCACUACUUAUGUAUAUUUUUCCUAUUCAAAUAAACACUGUGGUGUUUACUGAGA